GUUCUUCUUUUACCAUUGCCAUUCCUAAUUUUCAACAGUUCUCCAGAUGCUUGUAAUAUGCCAGUGCCAGCAUUGUGACUGAAGUUGUGUUUUUGCUGAGAUGGGAACAGAAAUUUGUACUUCCUCUCAGGCACUGUCUCUGGCCAAGGCCCAUGAGCCUUUACGCUUCUCUCUGCACCUUGCCUUUGGUGCAGGGCUGGGGGCAGGUGCCAUACUACAGAUAUUCACUGCUGGAAGUUAAGACCUGUACCAAGGUAGAGGAUCGUGUACCUCGUUCCCAUGCAUCUGAUCCCAGAUUCCACACGACAGUGAACCACAUUUCUCUUGUCAUUGAUCCUGCCAGUGGUUGCCUGUAUUUCUGCAGUGCUGGGACUGGGGAGUGAGUGUGUGCACACCCUAGGAAAGUGCUCUGCCACUGAGCCUCCUCAGCCCCAUCUAUGUGCUUUGCUAAUAUUUGCUGAUGUAUUUUAUUAUUUUCAUUUGUUUGAGACAAUGUCACUGUGUAGGUCAGGCUGGCCUUGAAUUCACUAUGUAGCCCAGGCUGGCCCCAAACUCAACGGCGGUCCUCCUGCUUCAGCCUCCCGAGUACUGGGAUUACAGGUGCGCACCACCACUCUCAGAUUGCUGAUGUAUUUUUAAGCACCUCCUAUAUAUCAUUUAACACCUUCAUAAUGGCAUCCAUAUAACUGAAGCUGACAUUUUCCUCAGUG
rnacentral:lncRNA from 1 species